rnacentral:rRNA from 1 species
UGGAGGCAGCAGUGGGGAAUAUUGGUCAAUGGGCGCAAGCCUGAACCAGCCAUCCCGCGUGCAGGAAGAAGGCGCUAUGCGUCGUAAACUGCUUUUCCAGGGGAAGAAAACCUGAUACGUGUAUCGGCUUGCCGGUACCCUGGGAAUAAGCAUCGGCUAACUCCGUGCCAGCAGCCGCGGUAAUACGGAGGAUGCGAGCGUUAUCCGGAUUUAUUGGGUUUAAAGGGUGCGUAGGCGGAUUAAUAAGUCAGUGGUGAAAACCUUCAGCUUAACUGGAGACUUGCCAUUGAUACUGUUAGUCUUGAGUACGGUCAAGGUAGGCGGAAUGUGUAAUGUAGCGGUGAAAUGCUUAGAUAUUACACAGAACACCGAUUGCGAAGGCAGCUUACUGGGCCAUUACUGACGCUGAUGCACGAAAGCGUGGGGAGCGAACAGGAUUAGAUACCCCGGUAGG